UACGUAGGGUGCAAGCGUUGUCCGGAAUUAUUGGGCGUAAAGAGCUCGUAGGCGGCCUGUUGCGUCCGCUGUGAAAAGCCCGGGGGCUUAACCCCGGGUCGGCAGUGGAUACGGGCAGGCUAGAGGUAGGUAGGGGAGAAUGGAAUUCCCGUGGUAGCGGUGAAAUGCGCAGAUAUCGGGAGGAACACCGGUGGCGAAGGCGGUUCUCUGGGCCUUACCUGACGCUGAGGAGCGAAAGCGUGGGGAGCGAACAGG
rnacentral:rRNA from 1 species